rnacentral:rRNA from 1 species
UAUGAUUAAUCUCAUAGCGUUUAUAACUGAAUACAUAGGUUAUAUAACGGGAACCUAGGGAACUGAAACAUCUUAGUACCUAGAGGAAUAGAAAACGAAUGUGAUUCUGUAAGUAGCGGCGAGCGAAAGCGGAACAGGCCAAACCGGUCUACGGGCCGGGGUUGUAGGACUCUUGUUAGAGUUACAAAAUCAGUGUAUAGCAGAAUGUGCUGGGAAGCACAAGCGUAGAGGGUGAUACUCCCGUAUGCGAAAUGCACUGAUCUCGAUAGAGUAUCCUGAGUACGGCGGGGCACGUGAAACCUUGUCGGAAUCUACCCAGACCACUGGGUAAGCCUAAAUACUACCAUUUUACCGAUAGUGAACCAGUACCGUGAGGGAAAGGUGAAAAGUACCCCGUGAGGGGAGUGAAAUAGUCCCUGAAACCAUAUGCUUACAAGAAGUUAGAGCCCGUUAAUGGGUGAUAACGUGCUUUUUGUAGAAAGAGCCGGCGAGUUACGAUAACAUGCGAGGUUAAGUAGAAUAUACGGAGCCGUAGUGAAAGCGAGCCUUAAUAGGGCGUUUAGUAUGUUGUCGUAGACACGAAACCAGGUGAUCUAGCCAUGAGCAGGUUGAAGUUAGGGUAAAACCUAAUGGAGGACCGAACCAACGUUCGUUGAAAAGACCGUGGAUGACUUGUGGCUAGGGGUGAAAUUCCAAUCGAACCUGGAGAUAGCUAGUUCUCCCCGAUAUAGCUUUAAGGCUAGCGUCGAGGUUUAGGAUUAUGGAGGUAGAGCUCUGAAUGUAUGAUGGCCCCACCUAGGGGUACUGAUUACAAUUAAACUGCGAAUGCCAUAAUUUCAUACUCGGCAGUCAGAACAUGGGUGAUAAGGUCCAUGCUCGUGAGGGAAACAGCCCAGAUCUACAACUAAGGUCCCUAAAUAUACGCUAAGUGUGUAAGGAUGUGAAGGUGCACAGACAGCUAGGAUGUUGGCUCAGAAGCAGCCAUCAUUUAAAGAGUGCGUAACAGCUCACUAGUCGAGUGCCUUUGCGCCGAAAAUGUACCGGGGCUUAAGCGUAUUACCGAAGUUUAGGAUUUACAGCAAUGUAAGUGGUAGGGGAGCGUUCUAAGUGCGAUGAAGUCAGACUGUGAGGACUGGUGGAGCGCUUAGAAGUGAUUAUGCCGGCAUGAGUAACGUUUGGAGGUGAGAAUCCUCCAUGCCGUUUGACCAAGGAUUCCUGGGCAAGGUUCGUCCACCCAGGGUUAGUCAGGACCUAAGGCGAGGCCGAAAGGCGUAGUCGAUGGACAACAGGUUGAUAUUCCUGUACCACCAAGUAAA